rnacentral:lncRNA from 1 species
GACAGUUUGGUCAUUAAUCCUCAAAGAGAUGAUUCACAGACUAGACAUGACUUAACAGUCAAUGAGCCCAAAGACCCAUUUUCUUCAGUUGGCAAGUCAUUUCUUCUCAUACAUGAUCUAGCCAAAAGAACCAUCUGUAUACAUCAGGUUAUUUGAUUUUGGAUUUCUUAGAUUCAAUGGUAUUCACUAUUUGCUCAAAUAAGUUCAUAAAUGCAUCACCAUGCAAAUGAUAAUAAACUAAAUCUAAAUGGUAAUCAUCGAGAUUAGGUGCUCACGGCCUCAGUGCAAUGUUUGCACCAUUGCUGACUCAAAAGAGUCACUUCACCUUCUCUCAGUCCUCUUCCUUCCUUAGACCUUAUAUUAAAGUGUAUAAUAUGCACUAGAGUCUAAUGAAAAAGGAAAAAUUGUAAGAUCAAUUUUGAGCAAUUUGACAUACCUUUCAAAGGUGUGUCAAUAUUUUUUUAGGUUCUUUAGAUAUGUAUCUCUAAACUUUUCAAGAUCCUUUAGUUACCAACAUAUUGACCAAUUCAGUUAAAGUACUAUAAUAUUUAUUUAUAUAAUAGUUUCACAAACUAUUCAUAUGAAUCAAAAAUUACAGGAUCAAAUCCAUUAGCAAUUUCUUAUGCAUGGUCAUGUUGAGCCUUUCAAGCUCUUCAAUGUCUUUGAUCAUCGAGCAUAGACAAACUGUCCAUCAUGCAUCUCACGCACUGUGCGACUCUGAUCAUCUCAAAACUAUUACAGAUGAAUCAGCAUGUCAUUGACAGUCUACACGUCCUUAUGCAUACAUUGAAUUUCUUCAACUAUGA